rnacentral:tRNA from 1 species
GUUCAAGUAGUUUAAAAGAAUAGAGCUCUGAAGAAGCUAAGGAGGGACAGUCCUUUGAACA